GAUGAAGAACGCAGCGAAAUGCGAUAAGUAAUGUGAAUUGCAGAAUUCAGUGAAUCAUCGAAUCUUUGAACGCACAUUGCGCCCGCCAGUAUUCUGGCGGGCAUGCCUGUUCGAGCGUCAUUUCAACCAUCAAGCCCUGCUUGCGUUGGGGUCCUGCGGCUGCCCGCAGGCCCUGAAAACCAGUGGCGGGCUCGCUAGUCACACCGAGCGCAGUAAUACAUCUCGCUUUGGGCGUGCGGCGGGUUCUUGCCGUUAAACACCCCCUUUUUACCAAGGUUGACCUCGGAUCAGGUAGGAAUACCCUCUGAACUUAAGCAUAUCAAUAAGCGGAGGA
rnacentral:misc_RNA from 1 species